rnacentral:rRNA from 1 species
UCGUGAGACAGUUCGGUCCCUAUCUGCCGUGGGCGUUGGAGAAUUGAGAGGGGCUGCUCCUAGUACGAGAGGACCGGAGUGGACGCAUCACUGGUGUUCCAGUUGUCUCGCCAGAGGCAUUGCUGGGUAGCUACAUGCGGAAGAGAUAAGUGCUGAAAGCAUCUAAGCACGAAACUUGCCUCAAGAUGAGUUCUCCCCGACUAUAAGUCGGUAAGGGUUGUUGGAGACUACGACGUAGAUAGGUCUGGUGUGUAAGUGGUGUGAGCCAUUGAGCUAACAGAUACUAAUUGCCCGAGAGGCUUAACUAUACAACGCUCAAG